rnacentral:rRNA from 1 species
GGUGAACGCUGGCGGCGUGCUUAAGACAUGCAAGUCGAACGCAGUCUUCGGACUGGGUGGCGCACGGGUGAGUAACACGUAACUGACCUACCCCCAAGUCGCGGAUAACUGGCCGAAAGGUCAGCUAAUACGUGAUGUGAUGUCCCCUUUCUGGGGGGCCAUUAAAGGUUUACUGCUUGGGGAUGGGGUUGCGUUCCAUCAGCUAGUUGGCGGGGUAAAGGCCCACCAAGGCAACGACGGAUAGCCGGCCUGAGAGGGUGGCCGGCCACAGGGGCACUGAGACACGGGUCCCACUCCUACGGGAGGCAGCAGUUAGGAAUCUUCCACAAUGGGCGAAAGCCUGAUGGAGCGACGCCGCGUGAGGGAUGAAGGUUCUCGGAUCGUAAACCUCUGAAUCAGGGACGAAAGACGCGUAAGCGGGAUGACGGUACCUGAGUAAUAGCACCGGCUAACUUCGUGCCAGCAGCCGCGGUAA